GCCCCUGUGGCUCAGUGGUAGAGCGCCUGACUACGAAUAAGGCGCUUUUACGCGUGUAAUUGUUCUUAUCAGGAGGUCCAGGUUUCGAACACCUGCUGGGGUU